UUUCCUCCUCCAGGGAAUCUUCCCAACCGAGGGAUCGAACCCAUGUCUCUAGCAUUGCAGGCGGAUUCUUUACUGUCUGAGCCACCAGGGAAGCCCCCAGCAAAGCCAGUGUCAAAUCAGACUCUAAAACUUGGUAGAAACUCUUUAACUGGAAAUCAUUCAUAUCCCACACUGUAACUUUCUAGGGUUGACUCUUCUCUGCAGCCUGACUGUGUGUAAUGAAGCAUUUGUUGGUCAAACGUUUUCUCUAUCUAGGUACUAAAUUUUUGUACUAUCUAAAAGGAUGAAGCAUUGUUGGGAAAAUGUCCUGAUACUACUUUUAGAAUCUUCUGUUUGCCAGUUCAGUAUUGGUUGAUAGAAGUAAGUCUUUGUAUCCACUGUAAUUCAGUAUUAAAACUGCCUGAGGUUUGAUAUUGCUUUACCUUUUAUAGAGUACAUUAUUUUAUAGUUCACUUAUAUACCAUCUUUGAUAGGGAGGUGCAAUUUUUAGAAAGAAAAAUUCUGAGCUCAGAGAAGUUAAGUGAUUCACAUAGUUGGGAAGAGGCUUGAAUCCAUAUUUUUGAUUUCUUUAUAUUUUACACCUUUCACAGAUAGUACUGCUGAAUCAUUUAAUGUUUAAACCAUAUAUAAUAAAAUUUAAAUAACUUGUUAUUAAGUGUGGCAGAUAUUUAAAUAAAAUUUAGGACAACAGCAUGCAAGUUUUUCAAAAUGGAUCUAUUAUGUCUUGUGACAAAUGAAAAACUACCAUUAUAGAUGGGAAAUUAAACUAUAUGUUAUAUAAACAACUGAGGGAGGAAAUAGUACCUUUAAAUGCUAUUUAUGGAUUCCCUGGUAUAUCUAUAGCAAGAAUGAUAAGGUAGAAAAACUAUAGUAUUUUUAUUAUGAAAUACCCAUGUGUUUUGUCUGUAAGGCAGUAUUGUAUCUCUCAUCAAAGUCUGUGAUUGUUGUUGUUAGCCAGACUCCUGGCAUUUGGAAUUUUAGUUCUCCACCAGGGAGUGUACUGGAGCUCGGCAGUGGAAGUGUGCAGUUUUAAUCACUGGACCACCAGAAAGUCCCAAAGGCAGUAUUUUAAAAUUUCUCUUUCUAGUAGCUAAUUGUUACUGUGUAGAAACGCAACUGAUUUUUUUAUACCAAUUUUGUAUCCUGCAACUUUACUGAGCUAAUCAAAGUUUUGAUAUCAAGCCUGUAAUAUUUUAAGAGGAAAUUGCUAAUUUCUCCCAUUUUUUAAAAAAAUUAUUUUUCAGAUAUUUCAGUCAAAGGAAGAAAUAGCUGUUCUCCUAACAUGGAAUCUGUUGUUUGGGAAUGUGGUUGUUAACAACUUGGCAAGUUGGCCAAACGGUGCCCGAUGUAAUAAAAUGAAAAGAAGAAGCAAGAUGAUGUCAUUUUCCCAUAUUAUGAAACCAAAAACAAAUGCCUUUUGUGAGACCAAGCUAACAAACCUCUGACGGUGCAUUGAAGAACUUAACAGUAAGAUAGAAGAAGUACUUUCAAGCUGAGACUUGCAGUUGUAUAAAGAUCUAAAAUACAUAUUGAGUAGGCCUGAUCAUCUGAAUCUAAUUCAAUAGAGAAAGCAUGGCUGAGUUGGAUCGUCUUCUGUCUGUGGCCCUUGACUAUGUGUGUGGGCCAUAUAGGUGGGCACAGUUUGUUUUCUUUGAGCCUGUUACCUUGAGGAUGUGCCAAGAUUUGCCUUAUGAACUGCCUUCAUGCCCAAUCUUCUGAAUCAUUAUGACCAACAGACAGCAGCUUUAGCAAUGGAGGUUACUCAAAUGAGUCCAGAUCUGAAUCUCUUUCUGAUGAAAUACCUGAUGGCUCUCAUAGUUGGUAUUCCUUCCAUUUUUGGGGUUGGAAGCGAAUAGACUUGGUUUGAAUGGGCCAGUUUUUUUUCAUGGUCGUAGGAUAAAAGAUGAACGAGAGCCGACAGGUACUCCAGGAACCUGAGGGAUACAAAUAGUCCUAUCAUAAGGAAAUCAAGAGGAACUUCCACUCAAGGGACAUCCACACAUGCUUCUUCAACUCAGCUGGCCAUGGUGGGUGGCCAGAGAAGCAAAGCAGGGAGUGUCCACAGCAAAGUGAGCAGCUACUACGGCAGCCUCCAAAGGUCCUGUGAUGGCAGGUACACUCCCUGCAGUUACAGAGGAAUGGAGGAGAGACUACCUCAUGGCAGCAUGUCACGACUUACAGAUCACUCCAGGCACAGUAGUUCCCAUCAGCUCAGUGAACAGUUAACAACAUAGCAGCAUCAGAGAUCUCAGUAAUAAUCCUAUGACUCACAUCACACAUGGUACCAGCAUGAAUCAGGUUAUUGAAGAAGAUGGAACCAGUGCUCAAAUUGUCCUAAGGUGAAUUUGUGCUGUUUAAAAAGAAGAUUUUAUUCUUUGCCUUUGCAUGACUGAUUGCUAUAACUCAGUUAUGAUGCUUUCAGUCAGGUGCAGAUUGUGUCCGUUGAGAAGUGAAUUUUUGCUUUUUAUAUUGCAUCAAACUUGGAACCUCAAGGCAUCCAAAAUGCUAAGAAUGAUAUGAUCACAUAAAUAACUCUUAUUUCUAGGUUAUGAAGAAAUAAUUAUUUGUCUGGUAAGCAUUUUUAUAAACACACUUGUUUUAUAUUUGGAAAAAUCCUUAAUGUAUGAUGACUGCUUUAUAGUGAACUUUCAUAUAAUAUCAACUAGUUGUGAGGUAACAUUCUGGUAGUUAGUUCUGUUAAUAAAACAAAUUUUUAGAAUUAAAGAAAUUUUCUAUGCAAGGUUUAUUUCUCAGAUGAAUAGUAGGACUUUGUAGUUUUCUUUCCGCUAAGUGAAAAAGAACUGUUUUUAAAACGUAGGAGAAUUUGAUAAAUCAGCAAGGGUGUUUUAGCUAAUAGAAUAUAAAAUCAACUGAAGAAUCUGAUUAGUCUACUGAGACUCUUUUGAAAUUCUGUCAAAAUAGUCUUUAUCCAGAGAAAUACAGGAGUAGGAUUAGCAACAGAGUGAAAGCAGAGAUGGGCAUUUUUUUUCUCAGUAAUUGUGCUGUUUUUAUUACCUUAGUUAAAUAUUACUUUUACUGACUGUGUUUUUAUAUUGAUAACUUAUCCAUAGCAUGACAGAAAAUGUUUACUUUUAGCCAUUUUUUUCCCAUUUAGUAGUAUUGAUUUGUAGAGAACUUCAUGUUCAGAUAUGUUCUAUGGAAGCAUGUAAUAAGAUAAGCAUCACACACUGUAAGCCUUUCUGUAGUAACCAUAGUUACAAAACAGCAGAGUGUUUCCUCUGUAUCUGUUAUUGUGUUUUUUGCAGUGAGAUCUAAUCUUGCCAAAGCUGCCAGAUGUUGGUAUCCAGGCCCCUCCUAUCAGUGGACUUGUUUGCACUUGCAUUGCCCAGUAGCCAAUAAGCUAUAGCUUUUGCCCCACACCCAUAUCUUUAGAUUCUGGGUCAUUCUGGGUCAUUUAGAUUCUUGUUUACAGCUGAAAUAUAUAUAUAAUCCAAUUCAUUGUAGCUUAAUGAAGCAUGAUUAGUCCUGCUGUGAAGUAUCUUUUAACUUUAAAAAUAUAAACUCAAAAACCUUUGA